GGACGAACGCUGGCGGCGUGCCUAAUACAUGCAAGUCGAACGGUCUUUCUAUGGAAGCUUGCUUCCACUGAGAAGAUAGUGGCGAACGGGUGAGUAACACGUGGGUAACCUGCCCAUAAGAGGGGGAUAACAUCCGGAAACGGGUGCUAAUACCGCAUAGUUUUCUUGAUUGCAUGAUUGAGAAAGGAAAGACGGCCUUUGUGCUGUCGCUUAUGGAUGGACCCGCGGCGUAUUAGUUAGUUGGUGAGGUAACGGCUCACCAAGACGAUGAUACGUAGCCGACCUGAGAGGGUGAUCGGCCACAUUGGGACUGAGACACGGCCCAAACUCCUACGGGAGGCAGCAGUAGGGAAUCUUCCGCAAUGGACGAAAGUCUGACGGAGCAACGCCGCGUGGGUGAAGAAAGGUUUUCGGAUCGUAAAACUCUGUUGUCAGAGAAGAACAAGUUGGAGAGUAACUGCUCCAGCCUUGACGGUAUCUGACCAGAAAGCCACGGCUAACUACGUGCCAGCCGCAGC
rnacentral:rRNA from 1 species